rnacentral:rRNA from 1 species
AAUAGAUACCCAGGUAGUCCACGCCGUAAACGGUGGGUACUAGGUGUGGGUUUCCUUCCACGGGAUCCGUGCCGUAGCUAACGCAUUAAGUACCCCGCCUGGGGAGUACGGCCGCAAGGCUAAAACUCAAAGGAAUUGACGGGGGGCCCGCACAAGCGGCGGAGCAUGUGGAUUAAUUCGAUGCAACGCGAAGAACCUUACCUGGGUUUGACAUACACCGGAAACCUGCAGAGAUGUAGGCCCCCUUGUGGUCGGUGUACAGGUGGUGCAUGGCUGUCGUCAGCUCGUGUCGUGAGAUGUUGGGUUAAGUCCCGCAACGAGCGCAACCCUUAUCUUAUGUUGCCAGCGCGUAAUGGCGGGGACUCGUGAGAGACUGCCGGGGUCAACUCGGAGGAAGGUGGGGACGACGUCAAGUCAUCAUGCCCCUUAUGUCCAGGGCUUCACACAUGCUACAAUGGCCGGUACAGAGGGCUGCGAUACCGUGAGGUGGAGCGAAUCCCUUAAAGCCGGUCUCAGUUCGGAUCGGGGUCUGCAACUCGA